rnacentral:rRNA from 1 species
AUUGAACGCUGGCGGCAGGCUUAACACAUGCAAGUCGAACGAGUGGCGGACGGGUGAGUAAUGCUUGGGAAUCUAGCUUAUGGAGGGGGAUAACUACGGGAAACUGUAGCUAAUACCGCGUACCAUAGGAUGAGCCCAAGUGGGAUUAGGUAGUUGGUGAGGUAAAGGCUCACAAAGCCGACGAUCUCUAGCUGGUCUGAGAGGAGGACGCGCCACACUGGGACUGAGACACGGCCCAGCCCCCUACGGGAGGCAGCAGUGGGGAAUAUUGCGCAAGGGGGGAAACCUGCCGAAGCCAUGCCGCGUGAAUGAAGAAGUCCUUCGGGUUGUAAAGUUCGUUCGGUAGCGAGGCGUUAACUACAGAAGAAGCACCGGCUAACUCCGUGCCAGCAGCCGCGGUAAUAC